ensembl:lncRNA
UCAGCCUCUUUUUCGAAUUCAAUGGAUGUGACCAGAAGAAUGAAACAUAAAAUACGUAACUGGAAACAAUUUGGAGGACGAGCUGGAUGGAGAGAGAGAUCGAGUGUAUUUCCGAAUGAGGAAUCAAGAUUCUGCUGAAUGUUAAUUGCCCAAUGGAUGCGUGCCUACUUGCAGAGAAUUUCAGAAAGGAUCGUCCAGAACUAAAAAGAGAAAAUGAGGAAGUGACUUCCGUGGUCCAUUUGACCCCAGGGGUAAGGCGAGAGGAGAACUGCCACGUUUUCACAUUUCUGAACACUGUGGCUUUUUGCUGCUAUUUCCCUUGUGCCCACCGAUUGCCUUUGUAACAGCCAACCCAACAGUGGAUAAAAAUCUGCUUCUACUCCCUGCUGGCUCAUUAGUUUGCUUCCUGUUAGUAGAAAUAUUAAUCUCCCUUUUUCUUGGGCGGGGGGCGAUCAAGAAAAUUUUCUUGGAUGCCACACAUCUCCCGUUACACCUGUUGAUGCAAAGUAGUCCAUAACUGUUCUAUAGAUCAGAGAGGGGAGGGGAGUUUUGCUUGAGCCAGGCUGAGGAUUAUAACCCGGGAAGGGCUUUUCCAGAAAGGAAGAAAGCAUUCUGGAGAAGCACGGCUGUCAGUACGGACUUAUAUCUUUUUGGAAAAAAGAACAUAAGGCCCACCUGGGGAAGCUGGAAAACGUCGUUUCACAGCCAUUUUAGCAGCUCCUACAAGGCUGAGACUCGCCUCUUUGAAGAAUCCAGCAAACCUCCUCCCAAACUUAUUUCUGCAAAGCUCCUGGAAAAGAAGGCGGUUUCAAGCAUUCACGGUGGUAUAAAUUAGGGUCUCCUGGUAGACAAACUAAAAGCCACUUUCUGUGUGUCCAGAUUCUUGGAAUGACGCUCCCAGGAGUGCAACCCAAGGAAACAUUUUAAACGACAGAAGAAACAGACAAGCUGACUCCACCCUCCCAACCCAUUAAUCAAGCUGUGAUCUUUUCAGCCAGGAAACAAGUUUCAACGGCUCUCAACCAAGCUCGCCUCUUUACCUGCAGAGAAUAAGUAGCUUCUCCAACUUGGCGCAAACUCCUCUUUUCAUCCCCACUGUUGAUGAUUCAUUACAGAACGGUUGCCCGGGUGCAAAAAAGGAGACUUCACAAUUUAUGCAUUAGUUCAUCAAGAAAUGCUUUUAGGGGAAGCACGAUCUGCCAGGCACAGCGCUUGGUGUUAGCUGUACAAAGGAGACCGGAAUGGAUUUCUUGACUUUCUUGAGCUCCCACCUCAGAAGGAAAGAUGGGCAGACGGAUGAGCAGACGGUGAUGGCACCUGGUACAGGUUGUGUUGGGCAGGAAAUCAGCUAGGUCUGCGAUGACCGUUCUGCCUCCAGGGCGUGGCUCCAUCUUCAAGUGCACCAGAAAGAGGCUCCCGGGAAGUGGUCCCAAUCUGUUCGGAGGAGGCAAGCUGCCUCUUGGUGACCUUCGGACAUGUUGUCGUGGAGUAUGAUGCGGGAGAGAAAGGAACUGCCCUGGUGCCUUGUUGUGCUCAGUUACUCUCUACACACUCGCUCAGGUUGGAGUAGCGUCUCAUGAAACUUUAGAGACGCGUCUCCCCAAAGACUGCAACUCCCUUAGCAAGUAUCAUUUUUAAUGCAAACCAUCUGCUCGACUUAGAAAAAUAGGAAAAAGAACUCGACCUCAGUUUGCUGUGAAACAGACCAGCCUUUGGUUUUCCACCGAGAGGCAGAGCGCUAAUUAAUUCUAAAAAUGCUGACCUCUUUGGAAUUAUUUCAGUCCUUUUGAUGAAAACCAUGUGUAACGAUGGUGUGUGUUUUUAUUCUUCUGUAGGCCCCAAACUCGGAGUGUUUUGAGAAGCUUUCUCUGCCUCCCGAAACCCUCAAGACCUCAUUGUGAAGUGGAGUUUCAGGUUACUCUCCUCAGAACGGACAGAACAAAAAACUGCAUUGUGAGCAUGGCAGAGGCAGGGCUGAAUUUUAAGGGAUAAAGUGCUGAGGUGCAAGUAGCAGAGGCAAGAGGGCGGAAGAGUAAUGUACCCGGUUUGUAAAUAUGUCUAGAAGUGGCCAAAGCAUGGCAGAUGCAGCCAGAGAUCAGACCCAGAAAAUGGGGAAAAAGGAAAUGUGAAUGAGCUCAUGUGAGACUAUAAUGGGAUAGAGACAGUGAUGAUUUAGGGGCUACAGUUGAAUUUAGGUGUGUGUGUGUGUGUGUGUGUGUAAGAUCCAUGAUCAAGAAUUUACUGGCCCUCCAAGAGAGCACUGACUUAAAAUAUAAUUAGGUUUGAAUAAAGAGUGGCUUGUUUUAAGGACGAUUUAUAACUUCUGACUCAUACUGAUUCUUGGCAUUGAAAUGCUUUUCUGGGGGAAAAAAAAAUCCUAUUCAGAAUAGGAUAGAAAGAAUAAACAAUAGAGCCCCAGGAGUGAGUCCACACUCUCGCUGGCAGGGCUCCUGUGUGUCGAUCACAUUUCCUUAGUAACUGCACUUUCCUCAUAAGGAAUUAAAAACAAGAAGAAAGCCAAGGACUUCAGUGCGAAUAAAAGAUACUAAUCCCUUCUUUCUACACAACUGGUGGAUUUUCUUAACGCCAUAUAUAGAAUUUGUGAGCAGGAAACACCAACGACCAUCAAAAUGAACAAGUAGGGAAAACUGGUCUUGACUAGAUGGGAUAAAUUAUGAUUUCAUGCCUUCUGUGCCACCGUGGAUGCUUAAACACAGCAAUUCGUACAACCAGUUCUGACGAGUCAGGAAUUCAUCCACUUCUUGUCAGCACCAGACAAAGCCCAGACACUGUGAGCCCACGAAGUCUGUGACUAUCCAGAAUUUUUGAAGAGCAAGGAAUUCCAACACAGAAUGAGGUAAUGUUUGGUUUUCCCAGAAGUGUUUUUUGAAUAAGACGGGGAAAAUAUGGGCACAGAAAUUUAGUAAAGAUGCUACAACGUCAACAUCGAAGCCAAAACCACUUGGAACUCUAAACAUUCACUUACACUCUAGCCCGGGAGGAAACGUGGGUCCUUCAGAAGCGAGUUAGGAAGAUAAAUGACUUAAGGAAAUAAAAUUCAACUGAGAUUUUGGGAAAGAGCCAUAUUCAGCAAAGACUGCAAAAUGUUCCUAUUCGAUUGUAAAGAAAUGCUGUCGUAAUUUAAUUGAUAAAAUUCUCAAGGGUGGUAUUAAAAAGAGAAAGAACGUUUUGAGGAGGGAAUAAUCACUUUGGCAUUUUAACUGACCAGCUUGAAUAGAUAUCACCAGCAUUUAUCAUUUAUUCGGUAGAGUCAACGCCACUUGGAGGAAUGGCGUCUGAGCAUAUACUAUGAUAUAUACGGUAGACUCCACUUCACCGGGAGGACUGCAGCCAAGUCAUAUACUAUCGACAUGUGAUAGACUCUACAUCACCUGGAGGACUGGAGUCUGGGCAUCUACUGUCAUGUGUCCGGUAGACUCCACUUCACCUGAAGGAGUGGAGCCAGGCAUAUACUAUCAUAUAUACGGUAGACUCUAUCACCUUAGGACUGCAGACAGGGCAUAUACUCUCAUAUAUAAGGUAGAUUCCACAUCAGCAGGCAGACUCGAGCCAAGGCAUAUACUAUGAUAUAUAUAUAUAGUAGACUCCACUUCACCAGGAGGACUGGAGGCAAGGCAUAUACUACCAUAUAUACGGUAGACUACACUUCAAACGGAGGAGUGAAACCAAGGCAUAUACUCUCAUGCAUAUGGUAGACUCCACAUCGCAUGGAGGACUGGAGAUAGGGCAUAUAGAGUCAUACAAACGGUAGACUCCACAUCAGCAGGAGGACUAGAGCCAGG